rnacentral:rRNA from 1 species
AGUGAACGCUGGCGGUAGGCCUAACACAUGCAAGUCGAACGGCAGCACAGUAAGAGCUUGCUCUUACGGGUGGCGAGUGGCGGACGGGUGGGGAAUACAUCGGAAUCUACUUUUUCGUGGGGGAUAACGUAGGGAAACUUACGCUAAUACCGCAUACGACCUACGGGUGAAGGCAGGGGAUCUUCGGACCUUGCGCGAUUGAAUGAGCCGAUGUCGGAUUAGCUAGUUGGCGGGGUAAAGGCCCACCAAGGCGACGAUCCGUAGCUGGUCUGAGAGGAUGAUCAGCCACACUGGAACUGAGACACGGUCCAGACUCCUACGGGAGGCAGCAGUGGGGAAUAUUGGACAAUGGGCGCAAGCCUGAUCCAGCCAUACCGCGUGGGUGAAGAAGGCCUUCGGGUUGUAAAGCCCUUUUGUUGGGAAAGAAAAGCAGCAGGUUAAUACCCCGCUGUUCUGACGGUACCCAAAGAAUAAGCACCGGCUAACUUCGUG